AGAGCGAACGCUGGCGGCAGGCCUAACACAUGCAAGUCGAGCGCCCCGCAAGGGGAGCGGCAGACGGGAGAGUAACACGUGGGAACGUACCCUUCAGUUCGGAACAACCCAGGGAAACUUGGGCUAAUACCGAAUACGUCCGUAAGGAGAAAGAUUUAUCGCUGAAGGAUCGGCCCGCGUCUGAUUAGCUUGUUGGUGAGGUAACGGCUCACCAAGGCUACGAUCAGUAGCUGGUCUGAGAGGAUGAUCAGCCUCACUGGGACUGAGACACGGCCCAGACUCCUACGGGAGGCAGCAGUGGGGAAUAUUGGACAAUGGGCGCAAGCCUGAUCCAGCCAUGCCGCGUGGAUGAUGAAGGCCUUAGGGUUGUAAAGUCCUUUCGACGGGGAAGAUAAUGGCGGUACCCGUAGAAGAAGCCCCGGCUAACUUCGCGCCAGCAGCCGC
rnacentral:rRNA from 1 species